UGAGAACUUUAUACACAAAAGCAGACGGGCUGGGCUUGGCCUCUGGAUCAUAAUCUGCUGACCCCUGGGGCAACGUCGGCUGCAGCGGAGAUGGCUGCUCCCCGGUGGGGUGUGUGCUCGGCCUGCAGCCCCCACCCUCCGGACUCCAUUUGCCUCUGCUCUCAGGUUUGCAUCUCGUCAUUGUCUUCUAAUUUUGCAUCCCUGGACUGUGUGACCUACAAGGCUCUCAGCACAACAAGACUCUAUGAUUCUGUCUAUUGGAACAAAAAGCCAGUGAGGCAAGUGUAUCAUCCUGUUGAUGAAUUCACAGGAUUAACUCUGGGAGUUGGGGACAGUUUGUAUUCUUCCUCCAGACACUGUCUGUUUCUCCUGGAUGGAAAGGUUCUGCUACUUGUCCCGUGGUCAGGCCCAGCUGAUGGAAUGGAAUGGAAGUGACUCUGCCCCUUACUGGCAGAAACUUUAAAAGCCGCACAACAUUCCCGCACCCUCCCCUCUGCCAUGAGCCUGGCAGUGCUCAGGAUGGGAAAAUUAUUUCACCUGGGCCUGAGGAUACAGGAGCUACUCCCAGCCUGCAGUGGAAGAGAAGCAUGGACAAGUGAUUAAACUUUGUGUUUUCAAGCCACAGAGGUUUUUUGAGGUUGUUUGCUACCAUGCUUUGUCCCUACAAACACAGUCAUGGAGAAGGCCAGUGGCAGAGCCUGAGCCGUUCACGCAUCUGUUCACCAGCAUCCAGAAUAACAAUAGAUUUUUGAAACAUUCCUGAGAAAAUUCUGGGAGUUGCAUACUGGCCAGUAUUAUUCCCUAAAGUUGUUCCUUCUAAAGGGUGGGAUGACCGAACAUUUCAGAAAAGCAAACCACUGCUGAAAGGCAACGUUAUUUCUGUUGGCAGAAGGCGGCCUGAGCAAUCUAGAUUUUCCACGGUUCACCAACUAGUUUUUAAGGAAAUAUGGCUGUGAGAGGAAUAAAACAUGAUUCCUACCUUUAGGGAACUCAGAGAAGUGAAUUAAAGGAAGUCACAGAUCAGGCAACCAACCACACAAAGUUUCUAAGAGCAAACUGUUAAGGUCGGCAAGUCACUCUUAUCCACUGUUUUGCCUUCUGAGGUUUCAGUUACUCUCAGUCAGUCAUGGUCCAAAAACAUUAAAUGAAAAAUUCCAGAAAUAAACAAUUCACACGUUUUAAA